rnacentral:pre_miRNA from 4 species
UGAGGUAGUAGAUUGUAUAGUUGUAGGGUAGUUAUUUUACCCUGUUCAGGAGAUAACUAUACAAUCUAUUGCCUUCC